rnacentral:tmRNA from 1 species
GGGGAUGUAAAGGUUUCGACGUGGAUGGUUGUAUCAUGAAUAGCGAGCCGGCGUUUCAUCAGGCCGCAAAACGGUGAACCUUUAAAUUAAACGCAAAAGAACAAAACUUUGCUUUAGCUGCCUAAUCGCGGCUAACGUCUCUUGCUGCUAAUCCUGCGGGCAGUUUGCAGACGUCACUUAGCGGGAUACCCUGCGGCAUGGGUCUGGCCGCCGCAGCGGGAAACUCACAGGCUGGAACAGCGUAGUUUGUCCUUGUACGACAGCUGUUUGAGACGAUAAAACAAGGUCUGCGCUCGGAGAAGUUCAUGGGGCGGCAUUUACGGACAGGAGUUCGACUCUCCUCAUCUCCACCA